UUACAUUGGGGGAUAGCCUUUCGAAAGGGAGAUUAAUACCGCAUAAGACAGUAGCUGGGCAUCCAGUAGCUGUUAAAGAUUUAUCGAUGUAAGCUGGGCAUGCGUCCAAUUAGUUAGUUGGCCAGGUACCGGCUCACCGCAACAAUGAUUGGUAUGGGAACUGAGAGGUCAAUCCCCCCCACUGGUGCUGAGAUACGGGCCAAACUCCUACGGGAGGCAACCUGAUGUAAUAUUGGGCAAUGGACGCAUUUCUGACCCAACCGUGCCGCGUGCAUGAAGAAGGCGUUAUGCGUUGCAAGCUGCUUUUAUAUAGGAAAAAACGACCCUUGCCAGGGGCAUUGACGGUACUAUAUGAAUAAGCACCGGCUAACUCCUUGCCACCAUCCGCGGUAAUACGGACGGUGCAAGCGUUGUCCGGAUUUAUUGGGUUUAAAGGGUGCGCAUGUGGUUUAUUAAGUCAGUGGUGAAAGACGGUCGCUCAACGAUUGCUAUGCCAUUGAUACUGGUAGACUUGAGUAAAGUUGAGGUGGGCGGAAUUGAUAGUGUAACGGUGAAAUGCUUAGAUAUUAUCAAGAACUCCGAUUGCGUACGCUGCUCACUUGGCUUUUACUGACACUCAUGCACGAGGUGUGGGUAUCAAACAGGAUUAGAUACCCUGAUAUGCCACACUGUAAACGAUGAUAACUAGGUGUAGGCCGAAUCUGGGCGGUGCACAGCGAA
rnacentral:rRNA from 1 species